rnacentral:lncRNA from 1 species
CAGGCACUCUGCUGGCCCUUGCAACUGCCUUGAUCACCUGUAACUAUCCAGGGUUUUCAGGCUGGCUUGGGGUAACACCGCCCGGCCCCAUCAAAGAAAUGCAGCGUGAACAGUCCCACACCUCUUGGCUCCUGUCUCUCAAGGAACAUGCAAGUGAAUCUAAUUAAUGACCUUCAGUAUCUUCUGUGCUUUUUUAUUAUCCCAUCCACAGUUCCUGGAGCCUUCCGGUCACUUACAAUUCAAACAAAAGAAACACCAAAAAGCUAGCUCGUGUGUCAUGGGCUCCUUUUCUCUGUCUCGGCACCAGAAGGUUCUAGAAACCGUUUGCAGACUCUCCUCAGGGACUCAGAAGUCAUCAAGUGCCGUCGCCGAGCACUUCUCAAACGGUCCCGUACGCACACGCACACACACAAACACACACGCCAGGAGAGUCUUGUUAACAAGCCCGUGGUCCUGCGUUUCCAGCAUGCUCACGGGACCCUAAUGCUGCUGAUCUGGAGACCUCGCUUUGAGCAGCGAGACUGCGGGUGGCGUCUGAACCUGACGGUCCGUGGGCUAUUGUUCCGUAUAGGAUGCCGGGACGGCUGGGUAGCCAUCCAGAAAAAGUAACGUCAGACUUACACUCCCAAUUCCUGUACUAGGACGGAUACGAAGAAGUGUGAUCUGUGCUCGAGGUGGAAAUGCAAAAUGAUGAACAAUUGAAAGGACAACGGGCAAAGAAUAGAGACACUCAGUAACUUGACCAAACUCACAAGAAGCCGGUGCGUGAACCGGAAUGAGAAACCAUUAAUCUGCAAUGGGAAAUACUCCUUUGCGAUGACAGAACACGCAUGUCUGCCAUCCAGGCACCUCGCUGCACAGAUCAAGAUGCCCGUGACGUUCCGUGAGGGAGCCCGGUGGGGCGCCUGGCUGGCUCCUUCAGAAGAGCAUGGGACUCUCGAUGAUCUCAGGGUCGUGAGUUCAGACCCCAUGUUGGGCAUGGAGCCUACUUUAAAUAAAUAAAUAAAUAAAUAAAUAAAUAAAUAAAUA